rnacentral:rRNA from 1 species
CCUACGGGAGGCUGCAGUGAGGAAUAUUGGUCAAUGGACGAGAGUCUGAACCAGCCAAGUAGCGUGAAGGAUGACUGCCCUAUGGGUUGUAAACUUCUUUUAUAUGGGAAUAAAAUGUUCCACGUGUGGGAUUUUGUAUGUACUUUAUGAAUAAGGAUCGGCUAACUCCGUGCCAGCAGCCGCGGUAAUACGUAGGGGGCAAGCGUUAUCCGGAUUUACUGGGUGUAAAGGGGGCGCAGACGGCAAUGCAAGCCAGGAGUGAAAGCCCGGGGCCCAACCCCGGGACUGCUCUUGGAACUGCAUGGCUUGAGUACAGUUGAGGUAGGCGGAAUUCGUGGGGUAGCGGUGAAAUGCUUAGAUAUCACGAAGAACUCCGAUUGCGAAGGCAGCUUACUAAACUGCCACUGACAUUGAUGCUCGAAAGUGUGGGUAUCAAACAGGAUUAGAUACCCCGGUAGUC